ensembl:miRNA mdo-mir-7270 mdo-mir-7270
UAAGAUCACAGAGUCUGAAGAGUCUGAAACCUGACUCCAGGUCUGGUGUGAUCUUGUG